rnacentral:rRNA from 1 species
CACACACCGCCCGUCAAGCCAUGGAAGCUGGGUGUACCUAAAGUCGGUAACCGCAAGGAGGCAGCUGACCACGGUGGGAUCAGCGACUGGGGUG